rnacentral:rRNA from 1 species
GAUGAACGCUGGCGGCGUGCUUAACACAUGCAAGUCGAACGAAGACAUCUGAGUGCUUGCACUUGGAUGGACUGAGUGGCGGACGGGUGAGUAACGCGUGGGUAACCUGCCUUAUACAGGGGGAUAACAGUUGGAAACGACUGCUAAUACCGCAUAAGCGCACAGUAUCGCAUGAUACAGUGUGAAAAACUCCGGUGGUAUAAGAUGGACCCGCGUCUGAUUAGAUAGUUGGUGAGGUAACGGCCCACCAAGUCAACGAUCAGUAGCCGGCCUGAGAGGGUGAACGGCCACAUUGGGACUGAGACACGGCCCAAACUCCUACGGGAGGCAGCAGUGGGGAAUAUUGCACAAUGGGGGAAACCCUGAUGCAGCGACGCCGCGUGAGUGAAGAAGUAUUUCGGUAUGUAAAGCUCUAUCAGCAGGGAAGAAAAUGACGGUACCUGACUAAGAAGCCCCGGCUAACUACGUG